AAAGAAUUAGUUAAAUAAUAACAUAAAUUUGUCAAAUUUAAAUUAUCUAUAAAAAUAUUCUUUU
rnacentral:tRNA from 1 species